rnacentral:rRNA from 1 species
CCUACGGGAGGCUGCAGUGGGGAAUAUUGGACAAUGGGGGCAACCCUGAUCCAGCCAUGCCGCGUGUGUGAAGAAGGCCCUCGGGUUGUAAAGCACUUUCAGUGAGGAAGAACGCCUGGUGGUUAAUACCCAUCAGGAAAGACAUCACUCACAGAAGAAGCACCGGCUAACUCCAUGCCAGCAGCCGCGGUAAUACGGAGGGUGCGAGCGUUAAUCGGAAUUACUGGGCGUAAAGCGCGCGUAGGUGGCUUGAUAAGCCGGUUGUGAAAGCCCCGGGCUCAACCUGGGAACGGCAUCCGGAACUGUCAAGCUAGAGUGCAGGAGAGGAAGGUAGAAUUCCCGGUGUAGCGGUGAAAUGCGUAGAGAUCGGGAGGAAUACCAGUGGCGAAGGCGGCCUUCUGGACUGACACUGACACUGAGGUGCGAAAGCGUGGGUAGCAAACAGGAUUAGAUACCCGAGUAGUC